rnacentral:rRNA from 1 species
GUGUCAGCCGCCGCGGUAAUACGUAGGGGCCAAGCGUUGUCCGGAUUUAUUGGGCGUAAAGAGCUCGUAGGCGGUUCGGUAAGUCAGCUGUGAAAUCUCCACGCUCAACGUGGAGGGGUCAGCUGAUACUGCCGUGACUUGAGUCUGGUAGGGGAGUGCGGAAUUCCCGGUGUAGCGGUGAAAUGCGCAGAUAUCGGGAGGAACACCAGUGGCGAAGGCGGCACUCUGGGCCAGUACUGACGCUGAGGAGCGAAAGCGUGGGGAGCGAACAGGAUUAGAAACCCUCGUAGUCC